UGCCAGCAGCCGCGGUAAUACGAAGGGUGCAAGCGUUGUUCGGAUUUAUUAGGUUUAAAGGGUACGUAGGCGGAAGAAUAAGUCAGUGGUGAAAUCCUACAGCUUAACUGUAGAACUGCCAUUGAUACUGUUGUUCUUGAGUACAGUUGAGGUAGGCGGAAUGUGUCAUGUAGCGGUGAAAUGCUUAGAUAUGACACAGAACACCGAUUGCGAAGGCAGCUUACUAAACUGUUACUGACGCUGAGGCACGAAAGCGUGGGGAGCGAACAGGAUUAGAUA
rnacentral:rRNA from 1 species